rnacentral:rRNA from 1 species
GGGAACUCAAAGGAGACUGCCAGUGAUAAACUGGAGGAAGGUGGGGAUGACGUCAAGUCAUCAUGGCCCUUACGACCAGGGCUACACACGUGCUACAAUGGCAUAUACAAAGAGAAGCGACCUCGCGAGAGCAAGCGGACCUCAUAAAGUAUGUCGUAGUCCGGAUUGGAGUCUGCAACUCGACUCCAUGAAGUCGGAAUCGCUAGUAAUCGUAGAUCAGAAUGCUACGGUGAAUACGUUCCCGGGCCUUGUACACACCGCCCGUCACACCAUGGGAGUGGGUUGCAAAAAGAAGUAGGUAGCUUAACCUUCGGGAGGGCGCUUACCACUUUUGUGAUCAUGACUGGGGUGAAGUCGUAACAAGGUAACCGUAGGGGGAACCUGCGUUGGAUCACCUCCUUACCUUAAAGAA